rnacentral:lncRNA from 1 species
GCUAACUUGGUAUUCUCUGCAUGUUAUUGGUUGGACUACCGGACAUCAUUACAGAACCCUGAAUCUCGAAGGAAGAUGCAGAAUGCUGCUGUGCUGCUGCGAGCAAUGGUGACUAAUGUGCUUGGUAGAUCGCAUGGCUGGGGUUUAAUGAAGCGUUUGGCUGCCGGCUGAUGGUGUGCGGCUUGGUUCUUAGACUGUUUUGGUCCUUGUGUUGAGCACUUUGGUUUGCUCCCUGCGAUGUAUUGGUUGUUUCGAAUUCUUUUUUCCCUGUUGAACCUCUAGAACACUGAACCAUGUUGGUUCCAUUAAUUGGAAUCGGAAGCGUGCUCCUUUUCUCUAAAAAAAAAAAGUACAUACACCAAGACCUAUAAAAUGUUCUCUCCCGAUGUCUCCUAUGCUCACAGCCAUUUAUACCACUUGGUUUUACGGAAUAUGAAAAAACAUGCAUGUAAAUUGUAGCUAUCGGGCCGGAGAUGCCGACCUAUGCUUCAAAGUGUACAUGUUGAUUCGAAUCUAAAGAAUGAUCA